rnacentral:rRNA from 1 species
AUUGAACGCUGGCGGCAUGCUUUACACAUGCAAGUCGAACGGCAGCGCGGGCUUCGGCCUGGCGGCGAGUGGCGAACGGGUGAGUAAUGCAUCGGAACGUGCCCAGUAGUGGGGGAUAGCCCGGCGAAAGCCGGAUUAAUACCGCAUACGACCUGAGGGUGAAAGCGGGGGACCGAAAGGCCUCGCGCUAUUGGAGCGGCCGAUGUCGGAUUAGCUAGUUGGUGGGGUAAAGGCUUACCAAGGCGACUAUCCGUAGCUGGUCUGAGAGGACGACCAGCCACACUGGGACUGAGACACGGCCCAGACUCCUACGGGAGGCAGCAGUGGGGAAUUUUGGACAAUGGGGGCAACCCUGAUCCAGCCAUGCCGCGUGCGGGAAGAAGGCCUUCGGGUUGUAAACCGCUUUUGUUCGGGAAGAAAUCCUCUGGGCUAAUACCCCGGGGGGAUGACGGUACCGGAAGAAUAAGCACCGGCUAACUACGUG